GACGAACGCUGGCGGCGUGCUUAACACAUGCAAGUCGAACGGUGAAGCUCCAGCUUGCUGGAGUGGAUCAGUGGCGAACGGGUGAGUAACACGUGAGCAACCUGCCCCUGACUCUGGAAUAAGCGCUGGAAACGGCGUCUAAUACUGGAUACGAGAAGGGUCCGCAUGGGCACUUUCUGGAAAGUUUUUCGGUUGGGGAUGGGCUCGCGGCCUAUCAGCUUGUUGGUGAGGUAAUGGCUCACCAAGGCGACGACGGGUAGCCGGCCUGAGAGGGCGACCGGCCACACUGGGACUGAGACACGGCCCAGAUUCCUACGGGAGGCAGCAGUGGGGAAUAUUGCACAAUGGGCGAAAGCCUGAUGCAGCGACGCCGCGUGAGGGAUGACGGCCUUCGGGUUGUAAACCUCUUUCAGCAGGGAAGAAGCGAAAGUGACGGUACCUGCAGAAGAAGCACCGGCUAACUACGUG
rnacentral:rRNA from 1 species